rnacentral:rRNA from 1 species
AUUGAACGCUGGCGGCAUGCCUUACACAUGCAAGUCGAACGGUAACAGGUUAAGCUGACGAGUGGCGAACGGGUGAGUAAUGUAUCGGAACGUGCCCAGUCGUGGGGGAUAACUGUUCGAAAGAGCAGCUAAUACCGCAUACGACCUGAGGGUGAAAGCGGGGGAUCGCAAGACCUCGCGCGAUUGGAGCGGCCGACAUCAGAUUAGCUAGUUGGCGGGGUAAAAGCCCACCAAGGCAACGAUCUGUAGCUGGUCUGAGAGGACGACCAGCCACACUGGGACUGAGACACGGCCCAGACUCCUACGGGAGGCAGCAGUGGGGAAUUUUGGACAAUGGACGCAAGUCUGAUCCAGCCAUGCCGCGUGCGGGAAGAAGGCCUUCGGGUUGUAAACCGCUUUUGUCAGGGAAGAAAAGGUUCUGGUUAAUACCUGGGACUCAUGACGGUACCUGAAGAAUAAGCACCGGCUAACUACGUGCCAGCCGCCGCCGUAA